GGCCUAUUAGCUCAGUAGGUUAGAGCGUUGUGCUAAUAACACAAAGGUCAAAGGUUUGAGACCUGUAUAGGCCA